rnacentral:siRNA from 1 species
AUAUCGAAACCAAAUGAGGUC